rnacentral:rRNA from 1 species
UACGAAGGGGGCUAGCGUUGCUCGGAAUCACUGGGCGUAAAGGGUGCGUAGGCGGGUCUUUAAGUCAGGGGUGAAAUCCUGGAGCUCAACUCCAGAACUGCCUUUGAUACUGAGGAUCUUGAGUUCGGGAGAGGUGAGUGGAACUGCGAGUGUAGAGGUGAAAUUCGUAGAUAUUCGCAAGAACACCAGUGGCGAAGGCGGCUCACUGGCCACGUAUUGACGCUGAGGUGCGAAAGCGUGGGGAGCAAACAGG